rnacentral:rRNA from 1 species
AUGUGUUUUAUUGGGCCGGCCCAUGUGAAGCCGUGUGAGCACCAGAUUCGUGAUUGGGCGCCAGAUACUCUUGCUAAACUGAAAGUUGUUGGGGCGGUGAACUCGCAAGGACAGAAAGGAGCGGUUGCAGCAGUAUGCAGAGAUCAUAAGGGUAUAUAUCUCGGCUCCUCAGUUGUGGUGUUUGAAAACUUGACUCGUCCUUCCACCCUUGAGGCCUAUGCAGCACGGGAGGCAUUGGCACUAGCAACAGACCUGAAUUUACAAAGGAUACACAUUGCCUCAGAAUGCGAUGGGGUGAUCAAAGAUGUGCGAAAUGAAUCCGGAGGUGAACUGGGCUCCAUUAUAAGGGAGAUUAAUCUCACCAGGAAUAAUUUUGCUUUUUGUAGUCUUAGCUAUGAGCGUAGUUUGUUUAAUUUCGAAGCUCAUAUUCUCGUCAAGUUUGGUUGUAAUCUUGGGCCUAGCCGACACAUUUGGCUGGGGUUACCCCAUGACCAAAACCUUGUACCUAUAAACAUUGACAUGAAUCAAUAA